UUUCGAACAGGUCUGGCCGAAAGUAAAGGUCAUGUUCGACAUUUGCUUAGUGCUCUGCCCCUUCUCAAAAGUGCUGCUCUUACUUUUCGUUUUUCUCUGAUCUGCAUUCUUCUGGUUCACCAAGGGUAUGGCCUAUUCUGAUGUUCUGAUUUCUCUACUUUGAAACUAGGAAUUCUCUGUCUAAAAGUCCUCCUUUCAAGCAUCCAACUGCCGUACGGGUCCUUGGCUGACAUGCCAGGUAUGGAAAACAGAGGUUUCUUUUCUGCUGUUUCAGUCUCCUUCUCCGUCUCCGACGACCCCUGCUCAGGACGUGUCGGACUUCCUUCUCCCGGUGAAGAUGAUUUUGGUAAAUCAUUCAGCGAACAACUAUCCUGUCGAUGUCCAAAUUUCCCACAUUUAAAGCAAGUACUGUCCAAGCCUUCAUAUUCAACUGUAAGACCUUUUUUUGGAUUACAAAUCUGGAUUGGAGGGUCUUGUUCAAGUCCACUUCAAAACUGACACGUGCAAAUUUACCACACUCCACAACAUUAUUCUUGUUUUGAUUUUGGGCUAACGUAUUCAAGUCGACCUUUGGAGCCUUUCCAAUUCGGUUACCCAACUCAAACAUGAACUCUUCAGAGUACCAAUGGAUUGGCAAUGGCCGGACCUUAACCCAUACAACACGCUUCCUUGACCCAAAUUAGGAGUCCACCUUUGAACAACCAAGUAGUGAUCUUGAAUCAUCCAAGGGCCAUCAAAGAGCAUUCUCCUACAGAGAUCUUUCUCGUCAAACCUGAAUACAAAGUAAUUGUUUUCAAGAUCAAUCAGUUCCCAGUUCUGGUUUUUGAGCAUCCAAGAUAAUCUAUCUUUCAUCUUAUUAAGGUUCACUGGCAUUCCCACGAUUGUAAGAAUGAGAGCAUAUCCUUCCACGGUAAACACAGUUGCCUUAACCUAUCAUCAGGAAAAUUGAUUUUAAGAAGAGAAUCAACGAUCUUCUUUUGUUCUUCAGUGAGGAUAGGGGCUGUAUCUUCCUCCUCUUGUUCAUAUUUUUGUGCUUCCCUGCCCGCGAGUUUAUUCCUCUAUUCAAGGGACUAUUAUAGGUCUGGUUCUUGACUUCAAGAACAACAUUAUCAGGUUCUUUCAUAGUCUCAUCCCCUCUGUUAGUCUGUCCUCCAUCAGUAGUGUCCCUUGUACAGUGAUCCUUGGGAUUUCAUGGUUGACAGCUUCGUUCAUAAUCUCAUAUUUACCUCCUCCUCGGUGCUCGUCUGUGACUUCAUUUGUCUCCAUUCUCUUGAUAUUCCUGGCAAUGAUAUCUUCAUCCUCUUUCGACAUCCCUCUUGCUUCAUCUCCGGCUGAUUUCUCAGUCGAAACCGUUUGACUCGAGUUCACACCCUUUCUGUCACUCAUCUCUCUGUACUUACAAUGAUACCAAAUUUUAAAUGGACUACAAGCCUAUUUACGUAUUUUAAUAUUUUAAUAAAAUUUAACUCUAUCAA